rnacentral:tRNA from 1 species
UAGCCUUGUUGAAAAGGCUUUAGAUUGCCAAUCCGGAGACUGCGGGUUCGAUUCCCGU